AGGCACAUAGACCCUCUCUGCCACCUGCCGAGGCGAGGACUCAGAUCACCCUCGCUUAACAGAACAUUCAGUCACCGCCUGUCCCUGUGCUCAGCUGUCCUUGCGCCCCUGACCUCGCUUCCUGCCCACCCGCCCGGGGUUUUCCCAGUAUCCUUGUCUCUUGCUGACAUCUCGCGAAGAGGAUCAGAGCGUAGGAAAAAGAGAAAGAGAAACAGGGGCCAAGAGGCGCCGAGAGAGUCCCAAGACUGGAAGUCCUCCCGGUUUCUGCAGCCCCAACUGCUGUUGUUUGUUUCUGGGCAUGUCUCUCUCGCUGGAACGUCAGCUCCUUGAGGACAGGGACCCCGGCCGCCUUCCUCACCCAGCACAGUGCCGGGGACACAUUGUUGAGUGAAGGGUGUCAACUUCUCCCUGUCUGCGCUUCGUUGUAUGGUUAUUCGAUUUAGGGUCUGUGUCCCCUCUGGUCCCAAGAAGGCAAGGCCUGUGGCUGCCAUGUUCACUCUCAAAUCCCCAGUGCCUGGAACGGUGCUUGGAACUGAGUAGACACUCAAAUAUCGGUUGAGUGAAUGAAUGAGCAAAUGAAUUAAUCACUAGACAUCUGGAAGUUUUGAAUCUUGUGUUUUCACCCACUGGAAUGCAGCUCACAUCGUCCCCAUGACCAUUCACAUCAAACCCUGAGCCCUUCCUAAGGCCUGUGAGGUCCCGGUCCCGCGUGAUCUGGCCCCUGCCUCCAGCUCCAGCCUCACCUCUGCCCCUCGCCUCCCCUCCCCCUGGCAGCAGCGUCUCUGACCCCCAGGCAUCGAGCAUGGCAGAGGCUCUCAGCCACCCCUUCACAACGACACCAUCAGUCAUGUCAGCACGGUCAGUUUUCUCUGUAAACAAGACUCCCUUGGAGAAUGGAGCACAUUUGUACAAACAACCUCAAUGUCACCAAUGGACCUUGGUCACUGCGGGAUAGUCUCCAAGGAUCGGCCGGCUGGCUGUCCGGGGCCUUGUCCUGAGACAGGUCUGAGUCCUAGCCUCCAAAGGGCUGCCCGAGGGGCGCCUGGGGGGCUCAGUCAGUUAAGCGUCCAACUUCA